GACGAACGCUGGCGGCGUGCCUAAUACAUGCAAGUCGAACGAAGCUUUUUUAACUGGUGCUUGCACCGACUUAAACAACUGAGUGGCGAACGGGUGAGUAACACGUGGGUAACCUGCCCCAAAGCGGGGGAUAACAUUUGGAAACAGAUGCUAAUACCGCAUAACCACAGAAACCACAUGGUUUCUGUGUCAAAGAUGGUUUCGGCUAUCACUUUGGGAUGGACCCGCGGCGUAUUAGCUAGUUGGUAAGGUAAUGGCUUACCAAGGCAAUGAACCGUAGCCGAACUGAGAGGGUGAUCGGCCACCUUGGGACUGAGACACGGCCCAAACUCCUACGGGAGGCAGCAGUAGGGAAUCUUCCACAAUGGACGAAAGUCUGAUGGAGCAACGCCGCGUGAGUGAAGAAGGUUUUCGGAUCGUAAAACUCUGUUGUCAGAGAAGAACGUGUGCGAGAGUAACUGUUCGUGCAGUGACGGUAUCUGGCCAGAAAGCCACGGCUAACUACGUGCCAGCCGCCGCCGCGG
rnacentral:rRNA from 1 species